ensembl:snRNA U6 U6 spliceosomal RNA
GUGCUUGACCAGCACAUAUACUAAAAUUAGAACAAUACAGAGAAGAUUAACAUGGCCCCUGCAUGAUGAUGGCAUGCAAAUUCAUGAAGCAGUCCAUUUUUUU